rnacentral:rRNA from 1 species
UCUACGGGUGACAGCAGUGGGGAAUAUUCCACAAUGGGGGCAACCCUGAUGCAGCGACGCCGCGUGAGCGAAGAAGUAAUUCGUUACGUAAAGCUCUAUCAGCAGGGAAGAAAAUGACGGUACCUGAGUAAGCAGCCCCGGCUAACUACGUGCCAGCAGCCGCGGGAAUACGUCGGGGGCAAGCGUUAUCCGGAUUUACUGUGUGGAAAGGGAGCGUAGACGGCAGUGCAAGUCUGGAGUGAAAGGCGGGGGCUCAACCCCCGGACUGCUCUGGAAACUGGACGGCUGGAGUGCAGGAGAGGUAAGUGGAAUUCCUAGUGUAGCGGUGAAAUGCGUAGAUAUUAGGAGGAACACCAGUGGCGAAGGCGGCUUACUGGACUGUAACUGACGUUGAGGCUCGAAAGCGUGGGGAGCAAACAGGAUUAGAUACCCCUGUAGUC